GUUUACGGCCAUACCAGCCUGGGUACGCCCGAUCUCGUCUGAUCUCGGAAGCUAAGCAGUGUCGGGCCUGGUUAGUACUUGGAUGGGAGACCGCCUGGGAAUACCAGGUGCUGUAAGCU
rnacentral:rRNA from 1 species